rnacentral:rRNA from 1 species
CUGCUCAGGAUGAACGCUGGCGGCGUGCUUAACACAUGCAAGUCGAACGAUGAUGCCAGCUUGCUGGCGGAUUAGUGGCGAACGGGUGAGUAACACGUGAGUAACCUGCCCUUAACUCUGGGAUAAGCCUGGGAAACUGGGUCUAAUACCGGAUAUGACUCCUCAUCGCAUGGUGGGGGGUGGAAAGCUUUAUUGUGGUUUUGGAUGGACUCGCGGCCUAUCAGCUUGUUGGUGAGGUAAUGGCUCACCAAGGCGACGACGGGUAGCCGGCCUGAGAGGGUGACCGGCCACACUGGGACUGAGACACGGCCCAGACUCCUACGGGAGGCAGCAGUGGGGAAUAUUGCACAAUGGGCGAAAGCCUGAUGCAGCGACGCCGCGUGAGGGAUGACGGCCUUCGGGUUGUAAACCUCUUUCAGUAGGGAAGAAGCGAAAGUGACGGUACCUGCAGAAGAAGCGCCGGCUAACUACGUGCCAGCAGCCGCGGUAAUACGUAGGGCGCAAGCGUUAUCCGGAAUUAUUGGGCGUAAAGAGCUCGUAGGCGGUUUGUCGCGUCUGCCGUGAAAGUCCGGGGCUCAACUCCGGAUCUGCGGUGGGUACGGGCAGACUAGAGUGAUGUAGGGGAGACUGGAAUUCCUGGUGUAGCGGUGAAAUGCGCAGAUAUCAGGAGGAACACCGAUGGCGAAGGCAGGUCUCUGGGCAUUAACUGACGCUGAGGAGCGAAAGCAUGGGGAGCGAACAGGAUUAG